CAAUGGCUGACUUGUGUAAUUCUAGUACACUAAGCCCUAGGCUGAGCAUUUCCAUGCAUUAUUUGGCUUUGAGCAUGAUGCUGUGAAGGAUGUAUCAAAAGCCUUAAUUUACAGGCUUAUGUGAUAUCACAUAUAAUGUAGUCUCUGGAAAAGGCCAUGUAACACUUUUGAGAAACUGACACAAAGAUAAAUACCAUCUUAGUAUUAUGAAAAGAGCUUUGAACAGAAAGAACCACCUGAAAAUCUUGGUUACCACUCCCCACUCCCCGUUUCAGAGUUCUCUGGACUAGAUUUUGAGAACUACUCUAAGAGGAUGCCUCGGAAGCAGAGAGAAGGAAUAUCUCAGAGAGAUGAAAUGAAAGAAUAAGAAAAUAUGUGUCAGCAAAAUUUGGUGGAAGAAUGUCACAAAGAAAUUUCAGCUUAAUUUCCAAUUCAAAAGAGUAAAUAAAGGAUCUCUGCUUUGCAGGGGAAUCAUU